AAUGACUGGUUUCACGUGUCCAUCCAUGUCUGAAUCAGCUGUUACUGUCCUUGUUGCAGUUUCUGUCCAUGGUGGUCUGAUAUCUCAAAGCUGAUCAAGUUCCUGGUGGGUCUCCUGUCUCAAGCAGUAGAGUGGGAGGAGCAGUCAGGAGAGAAGACACUGAAGCUGGUAUCAUCAGUGUGUACUUACAGAACCUUCCCUUUCUGUGACGGGGAUGAUGAGGAUGAGUGGUUUCAAUGUGAUCUCCUGCUGGAUCUGUACUCACAUGUGGAGGACUAUGAGACUAAAACAGGCAGGAGUGUCCUUCCAUCAUUGAGACCACUUUAUCAGUCAGCUCCUGCAGUCUGGUCCAUAGACCUCUCAGAGAGAAAGGCCUCCCUCCUCCUAGAAGUGCUGAAACUCCAACCAGAGAAGAAACCAGUACAGCUGAAAGGCUGGUCAGAUGAAGAGAGUGAAGUGAGGAGUUUCCUUCAGUGUCUGCCUUACAUCUCACAGCUGAGUUUUACUCCACCACAGUAUCAGAGAAGAUCCCCUGAAGAGUGGAGAAAGAGAGAGAAGACAUUCCUACUGAAUCUGUGUCUUCAAGCAGCCCUCCAUGAGAGAGAAACCAUACAAACAACUGUAGGGAAAGUGUUGUCACUGUCUGAAGUUUAUCAGGGUCGGAAAUGGGAUCUCCUGCUGGAUCUGUACUCUCACGUGAAGGACUAUGAGACUAAAACAGGCAGGAGUGUCCUUCCAGCAUUACAGCCAGUUUACCAGUCAGCUCCUGCAGUCUGGUCCAUAGACCUCUCAGAGAGAAAGGCUUCCCUCCUCCUUGAAGUGCUGAAACUCCAACCAGAGAAGAAAUCAGUAGAGCUGUGGGACUGGUCAGAUGAAGAGAGUGAAGUGAGGAGUUUCCUUCAGUGUCUGCCCUACAUCUCACAGCUGAGCUGUGAUUCUGACAGGUUCUUCCAGCGUGUGUGUGAAUCCAUCCCUGUGAGGUCCAGAGAGGAUGCCCAGCAGUUGGCCUCUCUCCUCCAGGCCUUGGGCUCCACCCUGUCACUGGGAGGACAGUUACCCAGGAAAACCUGCAGGUCUGUGGUGAGAGUGCUUGGCCUCUGUGCCUCCAGAGUGGACCUCACUCUCACCCCCAGCAAGAUCUCUCUGAAAGGAGCCUCACUUCUCUUCACACAUGUAUCACAGCUACACAAGCUCAGGCUGAAUGUGGGCAUGGCAGUGAGACUGGCCAGACUGGCUAGGAGGACAGGGAGAGGGGGUUCUCCACUGACUGUCCCAGAGCUCUCCCUGGUCCUAAAGAGCAGCCAGCCACCAGAGAAAGUGUUAUCCAGGGCUCUGAGUAGUGUGGCGUCCCUGCUGAGACUCUGGACGGUGCAGUGUCUGGACCUGACUGACUUCUGCAUCCAGGGUCACUCUCUCAUCACACUACUUUGUCACCAAGGCCCUCUCACUCUCAGACUGCACUCAGACACCCUGCAGCAGCUGGCUGUAGUUGUGUAUGAAGCUCAGGACAAGGACUUGACUCGGUGGUUCCUGGAGAAGGUUGGUGGAGACCUGACCUCCUGUAGGCUGGACUGGGAGGUGCUUCUCUCUCUGCUGCAGCAUUCAACCCACAACAUCACAGUGGACCUCAGGAAGAACAGGCUUCUAGAGAAGAACAUCUCAGAUCUUUUCCCCUUUCUGGGAAGGGUUAUAUUCAAGAGGCUCAGUUCCAGCUUUGUGAAGUCCACCAUCAGACAGAUCUAUGACAGUAGAGCCAGUGACUGUGUGUCCAGUUUGUUGAGGUCUUCAGACCAUUGGAUCAACCUGAACAGCAGAGAGCUGGACAGAGUGGACUGUACUGCGCUGUGUUUCACCCUGCAGCACAGCCACCAAGUCAAAGUCAACCUGCUGUGGACCUCCAUACCACCGGGGGAGAUAGAGAGCAUCCUGCCUCUUCUGGACAGAGUCUCCCAACUCAGGUUUCGUUGGCACUCUUUGACCAUUCUAGAAUGGAUAGAACUGUGA
rnacentral:lncRNA from 1 species